rnacentral:rRNA from 1 species
GGAUGCAAUCAUACCAGCACUAAAGGACCGGAUCCCAUCAGAACUCCGAAGUUAAGCGUGCUUGGGCGAGAGUAGUACUAGGAUGGGUGACCUCCUGGGAAGUCCUCGUGUUGCAUUCC